CGAAAGGCUUUGAAAGUGCAAAGUAGUUUCCUGUUUUCCAACAGAGAGGGAGGAUCAUCGGCUGAAAAUCUUCCACGGUACAGACAGAGAGAUGAAUUUCACACUGGAGCUGCGUUCCUGAAGACAGUAGGGAGCGACGUACUUGUGCGUUAAACAACAUUGAGUGUCUGUCAGAUGACAGAAAUCAGGGUGGUACCACGGAAAGAUCGCUUCGUCCCUAUU
rnacentral:ncRNA from 1 species